rnacentral:rRNA from 1 species
UGGGGAAUAUUGGACAAUGGGCGAAAGCCUGAUCCAGCCAUGCCGCGUGUGUGAAGAAGGUCUUCGGAUUGUAAAGCACUUUAAGUUGGGAGGAAGGGCAUUAACCUAAUACGUUAGUGUUUUGACGUUACCGACAGAAUAAGCACCGGCUAACUCUGUGCCAGCAGCCGCGGUAAUACAGAGGGUGCAAGCGUUAAUCGGAAUUACUGGGCGUAAAGCGCGCGUAGGUGGUUUGUUAAGUUGGAUGUGAAAGCCCCGGGCUCAACCUGGGAACUGCAUCCAAAACUGGCAAGCUAGAGUACGGUAGAGGGUGGUGGAAUUUCCUGUGUAGCGGUGAAAUGCGUAGAUAUAGGAAGGAACACCAGUGGCG